CUCAGGGUUCCUUAUCUCUUCCCCGACCUCUCCUUUCUUCCUCCUCCUCCUUCUUCACCAAAACCUUCCACCAAGACGAACUAAGGUGACAUCGGGCAGUUCUGCACAAACCUGGCAUAGUGCGCCAUGCCUACACACGAACUUAGGAUCUCAACUCAGCACCCCCCCCCACCCCCGCCAUCCUAUCUGUAGAUACAACGUUGCCACAUUCUCAGGUCCAUAUCAGCUCAAAACUGUCUUUGCCUAAACCAGGCAUCAGGCAAGAGAGAAGAUGGGGUUGGGAAAAUAUUAUAAUGAAGUUACAAAGUUGUCCUGCCA